AAAACGGAGAGUUUGAUCCUGGCUCAGGAUGAACGCUGGCGGUAUGCUUAACACAUGCAAGUCGAACGGAAUCCUUAGGGAUUUAGUGGCGGACGGGUGAGUAACGCGUGAGAAUCUGGCUUCAGG
rnacentral:rRNA from 1 species